GAUGAACGCUGGCGGCGUGCUUAAUACAUGCAAGUCGAACGGACAGGCCCUGCUUUUGUUUCGUGCUCGUUUGGCGAACGGGUGAGUAACACGUGUGUAUCCUGCCCCUGUCUUUCUGAUAUCUUUACGAAACUGCGGCUAUUACCGCAUAUAAUCUCCUGCUCCAUGUUGUUGGUUGGAAAGUUUCGGCGGUUGUGGCUGUACUCGCUGCUUAUCAGCUUGUUUGUGAGGUAGUGACUUACGAAGGCUUCGACGGCUAGCCGGCCUGAGAGGGUUACCGGCCACAUGGGGACUGAGAGACGGAGCAGAAUCCUACGGGAGGCAGCAGUGGAGAGUAUGGCAGAGUAGGGGGAAGCGAGAGGCAGAAACGCUGCGUGCGGGAUGACGGCUUACGAGUUAUAAACAGAUGUCGAAGGAGACGAAGAGUGAGUGACGGUAAUGGGUAAAGAAGCACCGGCUAACUACGUG
rnacentral:rRNA from 1 species